UCAAUGGACAAAUCCGGAGAGAACGAGUUUUUAGGGACCACGGUGAUUUUCUGGCCCACGACGAUGACUGGCUCAUCAGCCGUUUCAGAUUUCCAAGGGCUAUACUCUUGGAGCUCUGCGCUGAGUUGGGUCCGAAUUUGGAAAGAGAGACAGUGAGGAGCCACGCAUUACCCGUUCCUUUACAGGUGCUUACUACACUUGGUUUCCUAGCAACCGGUUCUUUCCAAAGAGAACUGGCAGACCGCUCAGGAAUAAGCCAGUCGUGUUUGAGCCGUGCAAUGCCACCUGUAUGGGACGGCAUCAUCCGCUUGUCUACCAGGUAUAUAACGUUCCCAUACGAUGCAGGUGACCAGCCAAACAUCAAAGCGCAAUUUGCAGCGAUAGCCGGUUUUCCUAAUGUAAUCGGAGCGAUCGACUGCACACAUAUUGCUAUAAAGGCGCCAUCUGAAGACGAAUUUGCAUAUGUGAAUCGGAAACAUUUCCAUUCAAUAAAUGUGCAGAUUAUAUGUGAUGCACAAAUGCGCCUAACAAAUAUUGUGGCAAGGUGGCCUGGGUCAACCCAUGAUUCAUAUAUCCUUACAAACAGCAUGGUUGGGAUGAGACUCCAAGCUGGCAGGGUGCGCGAUGGGUGGCUACUUGGAGACAGUGGUUAUCCACUAAAGACGUGGCUGUUAACCCCCCUCACCAACCCACAAACUGACCGAGAGCGCAGA